UACGAAGGGGGCGAGCGUUGUUCGGAAUUACUGGGCGUAAAGGGCGCGUAGGCGGCCGAUCAAGUCAGAUGUGAAAGUCCUGGGCUUAACCUGGGGACUGCAUUUGAUACUGAUUGGCUUGAAUGCAGGAGAGGAUAGCGGAAUUCCCAGUGUAGAGGUGAAAUUCGUAGAUAUUGGGAAGAACACCGGUGGCGAAGGCGGCUAUCUGGACUGUGAUUGACGCUGAGGCGCGAAAGCGUGGGGAGCGAACGGG
rnacentral:rRNA from 1 species